GAUGAACGCUGGCGGCGUGCUUAACACAUGCAAGUCGAACGAAGAUGCCGGAGUGCUUGCACUUUGGCAGACUGAGUGGCGGACGGGUGAGUAACGCGUGGGUAACCUGCCUUAUACAGGGGGAUAACAGUUGGAAACGACUGCUAAUACCGCAUAAGCGCACGGUAUCGCAUGAUACAGUGUGAAAAACUCCGGUGGUAUAAGAUGGACCCGCGUCUGAUUAGCUUGUUGGUGAGGUAACGGCCCACCAAGGCGACGAUCAGUAGCCGGCCUGAGAGGGUGAACGGCCACAUUGGGACUGAGACACGGCCCAAACUCCUACGGGAGGCAGCAGUGGGGAAUAUUGCACAAUGGGGGAAACCCUGAUGCAGCAACGCCGCGUGUGGGAAGAAGGUUUUCGGAUUGUAAACCACUGUUCUUGGUGAAGAUAAUGACGGUAACCAAGGAGAAAGCUCCGGCUAACUACGUG
rnacentral:rRNA from 1 species